rnacentral:rRNA from 1 species
UGCACCUACGGGGGGCAGCAGUGAGGAAUAUUGGUCAAUGGCCGCAGGGCUGAACCAGCCAAGUCGCGUGAGGGAUGACGGUCCUAUGGAUUGUAAACCUCUUUUGUCAGGGAGCAAAGGGCGCCACGUGUGGCGUUUUGCGAGUACCUGAAGAAAAAGCAUCGGCUAACUCCGUGCCAGCAGCCGCGGUAAUACGGAGGAUGCGAGCGUUAUCCGGAUUUAUUGGGUUUAAAGGGAGCGUAGGCCGGUCUUUAAGCGUGCCGUGAAAUUUUGUGGCUCAACCAUGAGAGUGCGGCGCGAACUGG